GACCUCGGAUCAGGUAGGGAUACCCGCUGAACUUAAGCAUAUCAAUAAGCCGGAGGAAA
rnacentral:rRNA from 1 species